GGGGAUGAUAGGUUUCGACGGGGAAGGUUUGUCGCAGGCUGCGAGUCGGGGAGGCUCCGUUCCCGCAAACCCAGGAGCAAAAAACAAAUGCCACUCCUAUGGCAAACCGCUGGGCGCCGGUCGCCGUCGCUGCGUAAGCAGCGGGUGAUUGACCCCACGACCUGACCGGGAAUCCGGUCACGCCCCUCCGGCAGUUCGCUGGUAUGUCGGAGUAAGGUGUAAUAAAAUCAGCGCGCAGCCCGCCUUACGCCGAUAAGGCGCGUCAAGACUAUCGGCUGGUUCGGAUGCGGCGCGGUCGGCUGCGACCCACCGAACAAGAACGAAAACGCCGACUACACUCGUAGACGCUUGUUGCAGAAUUCUUCGGACGCGGGUUCGAUUCCCGCCAUCUCCAC
rnacentral:tmRNA from 1 species